rnacentral:rRNA from 1 species
UACGUAGGUGGCAAGCGUUGUCCGGAUUUACUGGGCGUAAAGAGCGCGCAGGCGGUCGUUCAAGUCGCGUGUGAAAGCCCCCGGCUCAACUGGGGAGGGUCACGCGAUACUGAUCGACUCGAAGGCAGGAGAGGGUAGUGGAAUUCCCGGUGUAGUGGUGAAAUGCGUAGAUAUCUGGAGGAACACCGGUGGCGAAGGCGGCAUCCUGGACCGAGAUUGACGCUGAGGCGCGAAAGCCAGGGGAGCAAACGGG